GUUAAAUAAAGGUGAAAUAAAAAAUACAAAAGUUCAUAGAGAAACUCGUUGUCCAAAUCUAUGAUGGCGCUGCUGUAAUGGAAUGUAUCUGCCAUUUGUAUUUACAGCUAAGUCCCCUCCACUACCAUUGUCAACUUUCUUUUGGCAUGAACUGAAGCCAAGUCUCAUGUGCCUGCUCAUCCACUGGCACAUUGAAUGUUUCCCCUCCAAGCACUUCAAAUCCUGUCCUGCAUUGGUCAAGCCUCUGAACACCUCAACUCAUGCCUCAUACCGUCAUUCAAUCACUGCUGUGAUCCCUUUCCAAAAUGGUGUAAGACGACCUCUCAUUCCUAUUCCCCAUAAUAUUGUAUUUUAAAUGUCUUUAUUAAAUGCUUUAGGUUAAAAUAA